UACGUAGGGUGCGAGCGUUGUCCGGAAUUAUUGGGCGUAAAGGGCUCGUAGGCGGUUUGUCGCGUCGGGAGUGAAAACACCGGGCUUAACUCGGUGCUUGCUUUCGAUACGGGCAGACUAGAGGUAUGCAGGGGAGAAUGGAAUUCCCGGUGUAGCGGUGAAAUGCGCAGAUAUCAGGAGGAACACCGGUGGCGAAGGCGGGUCUCUGGGCAGUAACUGACGCUGAGGAGCGAAAGCGUGGGGAGCGAACAGG
rnacentral:rRNA from 1 species